ensembl:snoRNA
UGCAGCCCAGUCAAAUUCAGUCUCAGCCUCCUCCAUGGCGAGCACUGGCCAUCCGGCUGCUACAGCAACGUCUGUAGUCCAUGGGCCCCACGUCCCCUCCCAUGGGAUCCUGGGGAUAAAAUCAUGCCACAGACACUG